ensembl:lncRNA
GUACAGAGUCAAUGUGGAGGCUAUAUACAGGGGUACUGGUACAGAGUCAAUGUGGAGUCUAUAUACAGGGGGUACUGGUACAGAGUCAAUGUGGAGGCUAUAUACAGGGGGUACUGGUACAGAGUCAAUGUGGAGGCUAUAUACAGGGGGUACCGGUACAGAGUCAAUGUGGAGGCUAUAUACAGGGGGUACUGGUACAGAGUCAAUGUGGAGGCUAUAUACAGGGGGUACCGGUACAGAGUCAACGUGGAGUCUAUAUACAGGGGGUACCAGUACAGAGUCAAUGUGGAGGCUAUAUACAGGGGGUACUGGUACAGAGUCAAUGUGGAGUCUAUAUACAGGGGGUACCGGUACAGAGUCAAUGUGGAGGCUAUAUACAGGGGGUACUGGUACAGAGUCAAUGUGGAGGCUAUAUACAGGGUGUUACGGUACAGAGUCAAUGUGGAGGCUAUAUACAGGGGGUACCGGUACAGAGUCAAUGUGGAGGCUAUAUACAGGGGGUACCGGUACAGAGUCAAUGUGGAGUCUAUAUACAGGGGUACCGGUACAGAGUUAACGUGGAGUCUAUAUACAGGGGGUACCAGUACAGAGUCAAUGUGGA